AAUCAACGCUGGCGGCGUGCCUCAGACAUGCAAGUCGAACGCGAAAGUCCCCUUCGGGGGAUGAUUAGAGUGGCGCACGGGUGAGUAACACGUAGGUAAUCUACCUUCGAGUGGGGAAUAACUCAGGGAAACUUGAGCUAAUACCGCAUAAUGCAGCGGCACCACAUGGUGACAGUUGUUAAAGCAUUUAUGCGCUUGAAGAGGAGCCUGCGGCGGAUUAGCUAGUUGGUAAGGUAAUGGCUUACCAAGGCUACGAUCUGUAACCGGCCUGAGAGGGCGGACGGUCACACUGACACUGAAUAACGGGUCAGACUCCUACGGGAGGCAGCAGUCGGGAAUUUUGGGCAAUGGGCGAAAGCCUGACCCAGCAACGCCG
rnacentral:rRNA from 1 species